rnacentral:lncRNA from 10 species
AUCUGCUAAGUGGAAAUUACAGUCAUUAGCGUCCCCUCCCAGAGGCCCGUGGUGCCCUGUGGGCCUGGAACUUGCCCCACCCCCUCUGCCACAUAUGGCCCAGGGAGAAGGCGCUAAAGGUGAGCGCCGGCUGCAGGGCGGAGGACUCUGGCCUCUGCGGGGCCGAGCCACGGAGCCACCUGGCUUGCGGGGAUCCCUGGGACCCAGCCUUGUUCUACUGCCCACUUGACGCGGCGGGCACCCUCCUUCCUGCUGUUGUCCACACCAAGGGUGGCCUACAGAGGGAAGUGAGGACCUUGGGACUUCCUCCAGGACAGCCCUCGCUGUCCAAAUCUCCACCUGCUGCAGAGCUGCCUCCAGUCAAGCCCUUGUUUCCAGCUUUCUGUGCCCUAAAUAAACUUCUGCUGGGAUUGAGCCAUCAGCAUUCUGUGGUGGGCGUCGCUGCUGCGAGGUUGCCCUCGUGCACACAAGCUCCUCACAGGUAAAGGACUUCCAGGAUGAUAUGGAAGAGUGACUGAGAGCAGCCGCCCGGUGCUUCCCAACCUUAGAGGGAGGUCACGGGCAGUCUCCCUGCGAUGCUGGCCACAGGUGUGAGGAAGACAGUCCUUAUAGGAAAAUGCCCUCUCGUUCUUAU